GGGCAUAGGAUCACGGCUUCCUCAUCCUCAUGCUUGUCUAGGGUUGAUAUCUAUGGUACCUGUGAUGCUCGACUGAUGGAGGUGCAGAGACAGGCUGAGUAAUGAGUUGAUGAGUUGACUGCACGCAUCGAUGAGUACCAGUGACUUCGGAUCUAGAUGAUGGAGCGGAUGACACAGAUGAAACAGAUGAUGCAGCUGAUGAGAUAGCAAC
rnacentral:lncRNA from 1 species